CCACCCCUCGGGGAGACUGCGGCUGCCAGAGGAGACAGCUGGCCUCCUCCUCCUCGUGCUGCCGGGGUCCCUCCCAGCCAUCCCUGCGCCUCCCUGCACCGAGCAGCCUCAUUUCUGGGGUUCCCUUGUCAUCCUCACGCCCCAACCUGAGAACCCAGCCUGAGCCACGCUCCAAAAGGGGGCAGCCAUGGACCCCAGGUGACUACGAGCCCUGGGCAGACGGCCCGUCCACACCGAGCUGUCCGUGUACAAGACAGCGAAAAGCUACCUGGACAGAAGAACGUAAAGUAUCUCCGUAAUAGUUUUUUGUAUUCACUGCCCGUUG
rnacentral:lncRNA from 1 species